rnacentral:rRNA from 1 species
CCUGGUUGAUCCUGCCAGUGGUCAUAUGCUUGUUUCAAAGAUUAAGCCAUUCAUAUGCAACUAUGAACUAAUUCAGACUGUGAAAGUGUGAAUCGCUCAUUAAAUCAGUUAUAAUUUGUUUGAUGGUACCUGCUACUUGGAUAACCAUAGUAAUUCUAGAGCCAAUACGUGCAACAUUCCCCAACUUCCAGAAUUGAUGCAUUUAUUAGAUAAAAGGCUGACGUGGGCUCACCUUACCGUUCUGAUGAUUCAUGAUAACUCGACGGAUCGCAUGACCCUCGUGCCGGCGACACGUCAUUCAAAUUUUUGCUCUAUCAACUUUCAAUGGUAGGAUAGGGGCCUACCAUGGUGGUGACGGGUGACAGAGAAUUAGGGUUCGAUUCUAGAGAGGGCGCCUGAGAAAUGGCUACCCCAUCCAAGGAAGGCAGUAGGCGUGCAAAUUAUCCAAUCCUGACACGGGGAGGUAUUGACAAUAAAUAACAAUAUCGGGCCCUUCGGGUCUGGUAGUUGGAAUGAGUACAAUCUAAAUUCCUUAACAAGGAUCCAUCGGAGGGCUAGUCUGGUGCCAGCACCCGCGGUAAUUCCAGCUCCAAUAGCGAAUAUUUAAGUUGUUGUAGUUAAAAAGCUCGUAGUCAGACCUUGGGUCGGGCCAGUUGGUCCACCUCCCAGUGUGCACCGGCCAUCCCGUCUCCUAUACCGGUGAUGUGCUCCUAGCCUUAACUGGCCAGGUCUUGCCUCCGACACUGUUACUUUGAAGAAAUUAGAGUGCUCAAAGUUGGCCCACGCUCUAGAUACAUUAGCAUGGGAUAACAUUGCAGGAUUCCUGUCCUAUUUUUUGGCAUUUGCGAUUAGAGUAAUGAUUAAGAAGGUGAUAAACGCCUAAAUGUACAUAUUAUUCAUGUAUUUGUGCGUAUAAUUUUUAUAUGUGUGGAUGCUCGUUUUCGGUUUAAAUUGUUUCUCUGCAUGUUAUAGGUACAAAAGAUGCCUUGGAGAGCUCGACAACAAGAUCUAAGGAGAAAUUGGCAAGAAAACACCAUUUUUGAUCCCCGGGUACUGCAACAAAAAUGUAGCAGCAUUGUAGCACAAAAACUAGAAGAAAUGGCUAAGUCUGGAAUUCCAUGCAGGCAAUUAUCCGGGUGCAUAAAUGGCUGCAUGCAGUCCUAUGGCACUUCACUAUAGCUAUGUUAUUGUAGCACUCCACUGUAGCAACUUACGUGAAAUUCGGGGAGCUACAGUACUGUAUACUGACUGCAUGCCAGGCAACAUGGCAUUCUAAAGCUUACUUUUUAUAGGGUUUUGUGUUCAUUUCUUUGAGAGAAGAAGUCCUAGCUCUUGAGCUUUCUUGCCACCACUGAUAAGUGCUUGUGUUAUAGUAUCGCGAAGCGCUAUUAUCUUACAUUAAGCAUACCUUUUAUCAGAUUUUAUCACUAAAUGUGUGCAUUUGUGUUCUCUUGUGCAUUGAAGGUAUUGUGGAGCCUAAUUGGAGAAGAAGAAUGAAAUUAGGUCGCGUUUGCCAAUGUUGAGAUGUUCUCGGA